rnacentral:rRNA from 1 species
CAGCCGCCACGGUAAUACGGAGGAUCCAAGCGUUAUCCGGAAUCAUUGGGUUUAAAGGGUCCGUAGGCGGUCUUGUAAGUCAGUGGUGAAAGCCCAUCGCUCAACGGUGGAACGGCCAUUGAUACUGCAGGACUUGAAUUAUUGGGAAGUAACUAAAAUAUGUAGUGUAGCGGUGAAAUGCUUAGAGAUUACAUGGAAUACCAAUUGCGAAGGCAGGUUACUACCAAUUGAUUGACGCUGAUGGACGAAAGCGUGGGUAGCGAACAGGAUUAGAUACCCGCGUAGUCCCUGUCUCUUAUAC